rnacentral:lncRNA from 1 species
UGGUUUCCACCGUCUUCUUCGUGAAGACGGUGGUGCUACUGUUCAUCUUUUUUUUGUGUGCAGAAUUUUAUAAAAUUUAUAUCGUUGGAAAGGUCUUGAUGAGUAGAUUCCAAAUAUCAUAAAAGCUAAGCCUAAUUCUCAACAUAUUUUCUGGAUCGAAGGAAAUAAGUUUCUAUUUAUAAAAUUUAUAUCGUUGGAAAGGUCUUGAUGAGUAGAUUCCAAAUAUCAUAAAAGCUAAGCCUAAUUCUCAACAUAUUUUCUGGAUCGAAGGAAAUAAGUUU